UACGAAGGGGGCUAGCGUUGUUCGGAAUUACUGGGCGUAAAGCGCGCGUAGGCGGUGAUCCAUGUCAGAGGUGAAAGCCUGGAGCUCAACUCCAGAAUUGCCUUUGAAACGGGAUCGCUAGAGUCCGAGAGAGGAUGGCGGAAUUCCUAGUGUAGAGGUGAAAUUCGUAGAUAUUAGGAAGAACACCGGUGGCGAAGGCGGCCAUCUGGCUCGGUACUGACGCUCAGGCGCGAAAGCGUGGGGAGCAAACAGGAUUAGAAACCCCUGUAGUCC
rnacentral:rRNA from 1 species